rnacentral:rRNA from 1 species
UACGUAGGGUGCGAGCGUUAAUCGGAAUUACUGGGCGUAAAGCGUGCGCAGGCGGUUCGUUAAGUUCGUUGUGAAAGCCCCGGGCUCAACCUGGGAACUGCAAUGGAAACUGGCGGGCUUGAAUGCGGCAGAGGGGGGUGGAAUUCCGCGUGUAGCAGUGAAAUGCGUAGAGAUGCGGAGGAACACCGAUGGCGAAGGCAGCCCCCCUGGGUCAAGACUGACGCUCAUGCACGAAAGCGUGGGGAGCAAACAGG